rnacentral:lncRNA from 1 species
AAAAAAAAAAAAAUUGUGCGAGUCUGCUCUUGUAUCUGUCCUUGCCGACCUCUAUAAAUGACUCCCCUAUACGCGAAGAACGGUCCAACUUCCAAUUACUAGUGUCGGAUCUUAAAUUGUUCAUUACUAUCUCGGUCUUGGCCCUGGCUAAACGGGCUAGGUUAUAAUCCAGACCCGCCUCAUUGACCUUCGCUAGAGUGCAUCCCUGAUGUUGUACCGUAAAACUACCUCCUCCUUGUCACUCUCUACAAUCGUCGAAUCAUUAUUACACAGAAAUUUUAGUAUAAUCAGGAAAGCAUCAUCGUAUAAUAUUCUUGUUCCGACGCAUUGUCAGCAGCAACGCCACUGCUUUUCUUCUCCAGGUACUGUGACCCCCCAUUUCGAACAACUCUAUUUUCUUCGUUUUGCUCCUUUUUGUUCAUAGUUCAAUUAAGAUGCACUGUAUUUUUGUCAAAUGUUUGUCUUUUUUUUUUUUCUUUGGAUAGUUUAAGCUAAGUGUUGAAAAUUAUGAUCAUGGGAUUGUAGAUAUUCUGUUCGUGAAAAUGCGAGGAUUAAUUGGUUAAUUUUGAAUUAUUUUAGUGAGUAAAGAUGGCCCUUAAAGCUAAAAUUGAAUUGAACAAAUGGGCGAGCCUUAUUUUUUUCAAGUGUAUGAUUUUUGGCAGCAUUUAGUUUUCAAAAAGUAGGUUUUUGCGCUAAAAAUCCACCUAAAUAUCUUGAGCCUGUUUGUGAGUGCUUUUGAGAAUUGAUUUUUUUGACUGUUAGGAGAAAAUUGGGGUCCAUUUGUGAAAGAAGAAUUCAUAUUUGACGGCUGGAAUAGUGAAAUAAUGAAUAAAAAAUCAAUUUUUUGAGGGAAAUAAUGACUCCCGAACAGGCUCCUUCUUCGAUCGCUG